rnacentral:rRNA from 1 species
GUGCCAGCCGCCGCGGUAAUACGGAGAGGGCAAGCGUUGUUCGGAUUUAUUGGGCGUAAAGCGCGCGUAGGCGGCGCGGUAAGUCGGAUGUUAAAGACCCACGGCUCACCCGGGGGACUGCGUUCGAUACUGCCGUGCUAGAGUACGGGAGAGGGAAGUAGAAUUCCUGGUGUAGCGGUGAAAUGCGUAGGUAUCAGGAGGAAUACCGGUGGCGAAGGCGGCUUCCUGGCCCGUAACUGACGCUGAGGUGCGAAAGCGUGGGGAGCGAACGGGAUUAGAUACCCCGGUAGUCCACGCCGUAAACGUUGGAUACUAGAUGUUGGAGGUAUUCUACCCCUUCAGUGCCGCAGCUAACGCAUUAAGUAUCCCGCCUGGGGAGUACGACCGCAAGGUUGAAACUCAAAUGAAUUGACGGGG